GAGCAAGUAAUUCAAUGGUAGAAUGUGUGAUUUGCAUUUACAAUGCUAUUGGUUCAAGUCCAAUCUUGUUCA
rnacentral:tRNA from 1 species